rnacentral:rRNA from 1 species
GGAUUAGAUACCCCACUAUGCUUAGCCCUAAACCUAGAUAUAUAAUUAAACAAAUAUAUCCGCCAGAGAACUACUAGCAAUAGCUUAAAACUCAAAGGACUUGGCGGUGCUUUAUAUCCCUCUAGAGGAGCCUGUUCUAUAAUCGAUAAACCCCGAUAUACCUCACCAUCUCUUGCUAAUUCAGUUUAUAUACCGCCAUCUUCAGCAAACCCUAAAAAGGAAGAAAAGUAAGCAUAAACAUCUUAACAUAAAAAAGUUAGGUCAAGGUGUAACCCAUGAGGUGGGAAGCAAUGGGCUACAUUUUCUAUUUUUAGAACAUUUUUACGAACACCCUUAUGAAACAAAGGGUUAAAGGAGGAUUUAGUAGUAAACUAAGAACAGAGAGCUUAGUUGAAUAGGGCCAUGAAGCACGCACACACCGCCCGUCA